rnacentral:rRNA from 1 species
UACGGGGGGAGCAAGCGUUGUUCGGAUUUACUGGGCGUAAAGGGCGGGUAGGCGGCCACCGCAAGUCAGUUGUGAAAUCUCUGGGCUUAACCCAGAAAGGUCAACUGAUACUGUGGCGCUAGAGUGCAGAAGGGGCAACUGGAAUUCUCGGUGUAGCGGUGAAAUGCGUACGAUAUCGAGAGGAACACCUGCGGCGAAGGCGGGUUGCUGGGCUGACACUGACGCUGAUGCGCGAAAGCCAGGGAGCGAAGCGGG